ACAUGGGAGUCCAGCAACAUAACCAUUAUGACAUCUGCUGGUCCCUGACAAUUGUUCAAAUUUGAUUAAACAUAAAGGAAAUGCCUUUAGCAAUAUCUUCUAUGAUCCGAUUAAUAAGCAUUUCAGAUUAGGCCCAGCUACAGUGGUAUGGGCAGGGAGGGGUGCUGCUGUGUCACGCUAGAAGCCAUAUUGGAAGACUAUCAGUUUCCGCCCCUAGGGUUCAACUUAACAUGGGAGUGCAAGUGUCCUCUGUGCUUCUUCCUAAUGGGUGGCUCUGAAAUACCCCAGCAUUGCAAUAUAUAUGGACACCUGCAGACUGCUGUGAAGCUUACGCCGUUUACAACUUUAUAGUGUUUCGUGCCAACUAUCUAACUAUCCCGAAGCCAAGAAUCAACAGAAACAUUUUCUUUCUCUGUGUUGGUGAUGGCCAUGGGCUAUGUAAAAUUUCUCAAAGGAAAGAAGAAAAUUGAACCCUUCCAUCACAAACAAGAAGCAACUCAAAUUAACAAGGUAACCUAAAUAAGACCUGAAACUAUAAAACAACUGGGAGAGAACAAAGGGGAAAGCUGAACACCUGCCUUGGCAAUGAUUUUUUAGCUAUCAUCCCCAAAGCUCAGGACACAAAAGAAACAUAAAUAAAUGGAACUGCAUCAGAACAGCAAAAGAAACCAUCAAAGUCAAACAGCAGGCUACAGGCUGAGAAACAAUAUUUGCAAACUAUACAUCUGAGAGGAGGUUAACAUCCAAAAUGUAUAAAGAACGCACACGACUCAAUAAUGGAAAAAUAACCUAAAAAAAAAAACCGUGCAGGGCCAGCAGAUGGUAUGGUGAAGGUACAGACUCCCACACGGACGACCACAGUUGGAGUUCCAGACCUGGCGGUUUCCUUUCUCACUUUCCCCCUCUCUCUCUUACUCUGGUGAGCCCUAUACCAAAUGAAAAAACAAAACAAAUAAACAAAAUAACCCAAAGGACUUCAAUGGACAUUUUUGCAGUGAUGACAUGAAAACAGUCGAGAGGCAUAUGAAAAGUGCUGUGUCAUUAAUCAUCAAGAAAAUGCACACUCACAACUCACACCCACUAGGCAAGCUACUAUCAAAAGUCAAAAGGUGACGGUGUGAAGAAAGAAGAAUGUAGACUGGUACAGACAUUGUGGAAACCAGGAUGCAGGUUUCUAGAGAAAUUUAAAAUAGAACUACCACGUGACCCAGCAGUCCCUCUUCUGGACAUAAACCCAGAGGAAACAAAAUCACAAGAUACCUGCACUCCCAUAUUUACUGCAGCAGUAUUCAAACAGCCACACUAUCCAAACAGCCUACGUGUGUGUUGACAGACGAAUGGAUAAGGAACUGUGA